rnacentral:rRNA from 1 species
GACGAACGCUGGCGGCGUGCUUAACACAUGCAAGUCGAACGGAAAGGCCCUGCUUUUGUGGGGUGCUCGAGUGGCGAACGGGUGAGUAACACGUGAGUAACCUGCCCUUGACUUUGGGAUAACUUCAGGAAACUGGGGCUAAUACCGGAUAGGAGCUCCUGCUGCAUGGUGGGGGUUGGAAAGUUUCGGCGGUUGGGGAUGGACUCGCGGCUUAUCAGCUUGUUGGUGGGGUAGUGGCCUACCAAGGCUUUGACAGGUAGCCGGCCUGAGAGGGUGACCGGCCACAUUGGGACUGAGAUACGGCCCAGACUCCUACGGGAGGCAGCAGUGGGGAAUAUUGCACAAUGGGCGGAAGCCUGAUGCAGCAACGCCGCGUGCGGGAUGACGGCCUUCGGGUUGUAAACCGCUUUCGCCUGUGACGAAGCGUGAGUGACGGUAAUGGGUAAAGAAGCACCGGCUAACUACGUG